rnacentral:rRNA from 1 species
AUUGAACGCUGGCGGCAGGCCUAACACAUGCAAGUCGAGCGGAUGAAGGGAGCUUGCUCCUGGAUUCAGCGGCGGACGGGUGAGUAAUUCCUAGGAAUCUGCCUGGUAGUGGGGUAUAACGUCCGGAAACGGGCGCUAAUACCGCAUACGUCCUGAGGGAGAAAGGGGGGGAGCUUCGGACCUCACGCUAUCAGAUGAGCCUAUGUCGGAUUAGCUAGUUGGUGGGGUAAAGGCCUACCAAGGCGACGAUCCGUAACUGGUCUGAGAGGAUGAUCAGUCACACUGGAACUGAGACACGGUCCAGACUCCUACGGGAGGCAGCAGUGGGGAAUAUUGGACAAUGGGCGCAAGCCUGAUCCAGCCAUGCCGCGUGUGUGAAGAAGGUCUUCGGGUUGUAAAGCCCUUUAAGUUGGGAAGAAGGGCAGUAAGUUAAUACCUUGCUGUUUUGACGUUACCAACAGAAUAAGCACCGGCUAACUUCGUG